AGCUUGCAGAACUACCAUUACUUCCAGUACUUGAUAUCCUGAAUUUUGCUUGUCCAGUACUCGAUAGAAUUUUCUGAACCCAAAGGCCAAAAAACCUAUAGCUGGACAUAGGACUAUAGUUAAUCUUUCAAAUUAUUUGUCUUCUAAUCUCACAGCAGAUCCCUUGCUGUUGAUCUUGAUUAGAAUUAUUUCUUCAUAUGAGGAUGUUGUGACAACUUAACUGGUCCUGCAUCUCAGGUAGGGAUUUACCUUUCGUUGUUCCUUGUUAAGUUUUUGGUGAGCUGGAGAGGCUAUUGACCCUGACCCAUAUCUUAUUACCUUUGACCGAAUCUUUGUCCAUGAAGUAUGCUGUCCCCGUGCCGGAACAUCUCAUUCUUCCAAUUACUUCAACUCCCCCAUGUCUACCCCAGUAACUUCCAUGGCGAUCACCAUCCUCGAUUCCAAGCUUGACUCUUUGUAUACCAAAUAUGUUCGCUAGAUCCCCAUUCCCCAACAACUGCUCCAUCCUCGAGGGUCGCUGCCCCCAUCAUCUUCCUAGGUCUCCUCGAUGCGCCCGCCGCCCCCUC
rnacentral:lncRNA from 1 species